AGAAGAAGCACCGGCUAACUCCGUGCCAGCAGCCGCGGUAAUACGGAGGGUGCGAGCGUUAAUCGGAAUUACUGGGCGUAAAGCGCAUGCAGGCGGCCUGUUAAGUCAGAUGUGAAAGCCCGGGGCUUAACCCUCGGAAUUGCAUUUGAAACUGGCAGGCUAGAGUCUUGUAGAGGGGGUAGAAGUUUCAGGUGUAGCGGUGAAAUGCGUAGAGAUCUGAAGGAAUACCAGUGGCGAAGGCGGCCCCCUGGACCAAAGACUGACGCUCAGAUGCGAAAGCGUGGGGAGCAAACAGGAUUAGAUACCCUGGUAG
rnacentral:rRNA from 1 species